ACUUCAGGGCUGACGGCGUUUUGGGGGCCGAGCCGCCGUCUUCAGUGACUCAGCAACCCACACACGGUCUCAGCAGCUGAGACCGUGUGUGGGUUGCGGUGCACAAAAUAGGGCCCCCGUGGGCGAGAGUGGUUAGAUCGGGGCCAUGGAUUGGCUGCCUUUAAGAACGCAGGGACAUUAUGCUGUGCGGUGAGGUUUGCGCAAACCCAGUCGAUUUCUGCCUUGGCUGGUUCUCCUUUAAUGAAGUUGACUUUGGCUCUCAUAUCAUUGGUCUUGGGAGGAAAAGGCUGCGCAGCCGAAUUGGAGGGCAGAAUGUGGCUUAAGUGGUAGGGGGACCAGCAGCUGUUGGAUUUUGGAAAUGGAGGAGCGGAGAUUUUAAAAUUGUGCUCUUUAUCUUCAGGUGAUUGUAGAGAAGGCUCCAAAAGCCAGGGUGCCUGAUCUGGACAAGAGGAAGUACCUAGUGCCCUCUGACCUUACCGUUGGCCAGUUCUACUUCUUAAUCCGGAAGAGAAUCCACCUGAGACCUGAGGACGCCUUAUUCUUCUUUGUCAACAACACCAUCCCU
rnacentral:sRNA from 1 species